AAUAGGCUUAAAAAAUAAAACCAAGGACCAAUGAUUUAAGUGAGGGACUCCAGAGGCCACAGAUGACAGUCAAAACGAAGUGAAAUUGACAUUCGUUGUUGAUUUUCACGUCAUAAAAUUAUAAUUUAAAUAUUAAUUUAUAAUACUAUUUUAUACAAUUUAGUCAGUAUUGUAAAAGUGCCUAAAAACUACUUAAAGAUGGUGUCUUCUUGCAAACCUGUAAAUAUUCCUGGAUGAGAGGAAUGAUGACAGUCAAAAGAAGGAGAAGCCAGCUGUCAUUCUGUGAACAGCCCUCUGAAGAAGCCCGAG
rnacentral:lncRNA from 1 species